CCCUUAGAUGUUCUGGGCCGCACGCGCGCUACACUGAUGCAUUCAACGAGUUUUUCCUGGUCCGAGAGGAAUGGGUAACCUUUUGAAAGUGCAUCGUGCUAGGGAUAGACUAUUGCAAUUAUUGGUCUUCAACGAGGAAUUCCUAGUAGACGUAGUUCAUCAGACUGCAUCGAUUACGUCCCUGCCCUUUGUACACACCGCCCGUCGCUCCUACCGAUUGAGUGUUCCGGUGAAUAAUUCGGACUGCGGCUGAUUGGGGACUCUUCAGUCGGCUGUGGAAAGUCUAGUGAACCUUAACACUUAGAGGAAGGAGAAGUCGUAACA
rnacentral:rRNA from 1 species